rnacentral:rRNA from 1 species
UAGGGAAUAUUGCGCAAUGGGGGAAACCCUGACGCAGCGACGCCGCGUGAGUGAUGAAGGCCUUCGGGUCGUAAAGCUCUGUUGCAGGGGAAUAACACAAUGAAGGUACCCUGUGAGGAAGGAUCGGCUAACUUCGUGCCAGCAGCCGCGGUAAGACGAGGGAUCCUAGCGUUGUUCGGAAUCAUUGGGCGUAAAGCGGGCGUAGGUGGCUUGGUAAGUCAGGUGUGAAAGCCCAGGGCUCAACCCUGG